rnacentral:rRNA from 1 species
AUUGAACGCUGGCGGCAGGCUUAACACAUGCAAGUCGAGCGGGGGAAGGUAGCUUGCUACCGGACCUAGCGGCGGACGGGUGAGUAAUGCUUAGGAAUCUGCCUAUUAGUGGGGGACGACAUCUCGAAAGGGAUGCUAAUACCGCAUACGUCCUACGGGAGAAAGCAGGGGAUCUUCGGACCUUGCGCUAAUAGAUGAGCCUAAGUCGGAUUAGCUAGUUGGUGGGGUAAAGGCCUACCAAGGUGACGAUCUGUAGCGGGUCUGAGAGGAUGAUCCGCCACACUGGGACUGAGACACGGCCCAGACUCCUACGGGAGGCAGCAGUGGGGAAUAUUGGACAAUGGGGGGAACCCUGAUCCAGCCAUGCCGCGUGUGUGAAGAAGGCCUUAUGGUUGUAAAGCACUUUAAGCGAGGAGGAGGCUACUUUAGUUAAUACCUAGAGAUAGUGGACGUUACUCGCAGAAUAAGCACCGGCUAACUCUGUGCCAGCAGCCGCGGUAA